rnacentral:rRNA from 1 species
AUGAACGCUAGCUACAGGCUUAACACAUGCAAGUCGAGGGGCAGCAUGGUCUUAGCUUGCUAAGGCCGAUGGCGACCGGCGCACGGGUGAGUAACACGUAUCCAACCUGCCGUCUACUCUUGGACAGCCUUCUGAAAGGAAGAUUAAUACAAGAUGGCAUCAUGAGUCCGCAUGUUCACAUGAUUAAAGGUAUUCCGGUAGACGAUGGGGAUGCGUUCCAUUAGAUAGUAGGCUGGGUAACGGCCCACCUAGUCUUCGAUGGAUAGGGGUUCUGAGAGGAAGGUCCCCCACAUUGGAACUGAGACACGGUCCAAACUCCUACGGGAGGCAGCAGUGAGGAAUAUUGGUCAAUGGGCGAGAGCCUGAACCAGCCAAGUAGCGUGAAGGAUGACUGCCCUAUGGGUUGUAAACUUCUUUUAUAAAGGAAUAAAGUCGGGUAUGGAUACCCGUUUGCAUGUACUUUAUGAAUAAGGAUCGGCUAACUCCGUGCCAGCAGCCGCGGUAAUACGGAGGAUCCGAGCGUUAUCCGGAUUUAUUGGGUUUAAAGGGAGCGUAGAUGGAUGUUUAAGUCAGUUGUGAAAGUUUGCGGCUCAACCGUAAAAUUGCAGUUGAUACUGGAUAUCUUGAGUGCAGUUGAGGCAGGCGGAAUUCGUGGUGUAGCGGUGAAAUGCUUAGAUAUCACGAAGAACUCCGAUUGCGAAGGCAGCCUGCUAAGCUGCAACUGACAUUGAGGCUCGAAAGUGUGGGUAUCAAACAGGAUUAGAUACCCUGGUAGUCCACACGGUAAACGAUGAAUACUCGCUGUUUGCGAUAUACUGCAAGCGGCCAAGCGAAAGCGUUAAGUAUUCCACCUGGGGAGUACGCCGGCAACGGUGAAACUCAAAGGAAUUGACGGGGGCCCGCACAAGCGGAGGAACAUGUGGUUUAAUUCGAUGAUACGCGAGGAACCUUACCCGGGCUUAAAUUGCAGAUGAAUUACGGUGAAAGCCGUAAGCCGCAAGGCAUCUGUGAAGGUGCUGCAUGGUUGUCGUCAGCUCGUGCCGUGAGGUGUCGGCUUAAGUGCCAUAACGAGCGCAACCCUUGUUGUCAGUUACUAACAGGUUCCGCUGAGGACUCUGACAAGACUGCCAUCGUAAGAUGUGAGGAAGGUGGGGAUGACGUCAAAUCAGCACGGCCCUUACGUCCGGGGCUACACACGUGUUACAAUGGGGGGUACAGAGGGCCGCUACCACGCGAGUGGAUGCCAAUCCCCAAAACCUCUCUCAGUUCGGACUGGAGUCUGCAACCCGACUCCACGAAGCUGGAUUCGCUAGUAAUCGCGCAUCAGCCACGGCGCGGUGAAUACGUUCCCGGGCCUUGUACACACCGCCCGUCAAGCCAUGGGAGCCGGGGGUACCUGAAGUGCGUAACCGCGAGGAGCGCCCUAGGGUAAAACUGGUGACUGGGGCU